CUUCUCCGGGUGGAACGUAGUGAUUUAUCUGUACUCUGAUAAUAUUUACUUUGAAAUUUGAGUUUCGGGGAUUUUCCUUUAAUUCUGGAAACAAACUGUGACUGACAUCUCCAGCUCCCAAUAGCAGCCCGUUCUCACACACACACAGCCAGUCAGCGAUCACCGCUGGGAGAGGGAUGCUUCCAUUGGCUGAGGGGUGUCAGUGGGCGGGACGCUGUUUGGAACGGGACCGAGUGGGCCGGAGACCGGGAGCUGCGCCUCGGGUUUCGGCUGCACCACCGGCGGGUCGUGAAUCCUUUCGAAGGCAGAGCUGAAGCGACCGGCGGAGAUUCCGUGAGAUGUUUCAGCUACACGGAGGCGCCCGGCCUUUCCCCGCCGAGGAUCGGGGCCUGUUGUCCCUUCCUGCCGGGAGACGGGAGCUGCCCCGCAGCGGCUGCCGGUGGAUCUCCGGAGCUCUCACCGCUCCCCUGUGCAAUCCGAACGGCUGAAAACCAAGGGAGAACAAGGCGCAAAGCAAAUGUUAUAUCCAUAAAUGCAAACACAGCAAUAAGAAACCUUGGAAACUUGUUUUGUUUCUGAUAUCAAACCUUGACUGACAUAUCCAGCAACCGGCAGCAGCCCGCCCUCGGACACACUCACAGCCAAUCAGAGACCACCGCUGGGAGACUCUGGCCUCCAUUGGCUGAGGAGUGUCAGUGGGCGGGACUCUGGGCGGACCGAAGUUUGGAACCGGGAACGAGUGGACCCGGUGAGAGACCCGAGAUUGGGAGCAGCUCCCCGGGUAAAGGCUGCAACAGCCUCCGAUGGCGGAGGUGAAGAUUCGGGCGCAGAUUCCGUGAGAUGUUUCAGCCACACAGGGGGAGCCCGGUCUUUCCCCGCCGUGGAUCGGGGCCUGUUGUCCGGAGUUUCCUCCCGGUCCUGUCUCCUGCUGCUGGGAUACGGGAGCAGGCCCGCAGCGGCUGCCGAUGGAACCCCGGUGUGUGAGCGCUCCCCUGUGCAAAAGGACAGGCUGAAGGUCAAGGGAGAACCAGGCGCAAAGAUGCUGCCUGAGGUGCUGAGUUCCUGCAGCGUUUUGUGUGAGUCGCUUUGGAUUUCCAGCAUUUGCAGACUUUCUCCUGUCAGUUCCAGAAAUCGCCAUCAGCGACCAGGCGAUCACAUGCGCAUGCGUAAGGUCGCGAACGUAUGGACCGAGUAUUUGUCUGAAAGUUAAAUGUUUAAACAUCAUGAAAACAGCACGGCAUCAACAAAACACCAGCUGUGCAGCAGCAAAGGCUCUCUGUGUGGGAACAUUUCAGUUACUGCGCAGCUCGGAAUAAUAUGGGACAGAGAAUAAUACUAAUGGAAGGAAUCAGCCUGAGCUAAGUCACAGAUUGAAAUUCCCAUUCUCACACAGACAGGAAUACUGUUGGGCAAUUAGAUGGACAGACCAGUUGCCGGCAUCAUGAGCAGUUGGAAGGAGAGUUUUUCCCCCAACUUGGGUUGAUCCUCGCUGUAACAGUGUGAUGUCAGAGUUCAGAAAGGAGAUUAAAAUUAUUUCAUAAUAUAUCGGCUGUGAAAAUUAAUCAGAUACAGGAGCAGAAUGAGGUCGUUUGGCCCAUCGAGUCUGCUCCACCAUUUCAUUACAGCUGAUCCAUUUCCAACUCAGCUGCACUCUCCUGCCUUCUCCCCAUAUCCCUUCCUGCCCUAACUAAUCAAGAAUCCAUCACCCUCUUCCCAAAAAUAGACCCAAUUACUUGGACUCCAGAGCAACUCAUAGCAGCAAAUCCCACAGAGUCACCACGCUCCGGUUAAAGAAAUUCCUCCUCAUCUCCAUUAUGAAAGAACAAAGCUCGAUUUUGAUGCUGCGUCCUCUGGUUUUCGACUCCCCCACUCUUGUCAACAUACUCUCCACAUCCACUCUAUCGAGACUUUUCAAUGUUCGAUAGAUUUCAAUGAGGGCCCCUUCAUUAUUCUGAACUCCAGUGAGUAGAGGCCCCGAGCCAUCAAAUGUUCUUCAUCAGACAAACCUUAUAAAUCCUGAAAUAUUUUUGUAAACUUCCUUUGAACGCUCUGCAAUGUAAGCACAUCUGUUCUACUUAAGGGGCCUGAAUCUGCUCUCAAUAGUCCUAGUGAGGCCACACUUUAAAUAUACUCAACAAUACAUCCUUGCUUUUAUAUUCUCGUACUCCUCAACAUUAUUUCCUCUCCAUUGAGAAAACAGUCUGCACUCUCAUUGCCUCUAAAUAAGUGGAUGACUUCUCUGAAUGAUGACUUUCAUUCAUUGAUGUCUUUUGUAAAUCAUUUUUACAGGUUAGAAAUGGCAAAAAUUGUGUCCGGGAACUUUAAACAGUCAGUUUGCUGUCUCUGCCCAGAUAUUUAAGGAGUUACUAGAUAUUUAGCAAUGUAUCACAGUUGAUCCUUGGAGAUGAAGAAUUUUGUCAUCACAGUUGGAAAAGUGCUUUGUGAAAUGAAGUUUUCUGUUGUAACUCACUGAAAUCCACUGGAACCGGUGAGCUGAGAACACACCAGCAUUUGUUCACUGGAGAUCAGUUCUUCAACUACAUUGAUUGUGCAAGGGAUUUACUGCAUCAGACAUUUGACUUAUGAAUUGACAAAGAACCGUGGGAAGGGAUUCACUCUUCACUCACUCAUCUCACCUGCAUGCACACCAGCGAGUUCACACUGGUGAGAAGCCGUUCACCUGCUCAGACUGUGGGAAGGGAUUCGCUCAUUCAUCGCAACUGCAGAGACAUCAGUCAAUUCACACUGGGGAGAAAUCAUUCAGACUGUGAGGGGAUUCAGUUGGUCAUCUGAACUGAAGAUAGUCACACUGGGGAGAGGCCAUUCAUCUGUUCAGACUGUGGGAAAGGGUUUAUUCGGUCAUCUCAACUAAGGUACAUCAGCGAGUUCACACUGGGGAGAGGCCGUUUACCUGCUCAGUCAGUGGGAAAGGAUUCACUCAUUCAUCUGUACUGAAGGUGCAUCAGAGAAUUCACACUGGGGAGAGUCCGUUCACCUGCUCAGACUGUGGGAAGAAAUUCACUGACUUAUCCAGGCUACAGGCCCACCAGCGAGUUCAUACAGGAGAGAGGACGUUCACCUGUUCAGACUGUGGGAAGGCAUUUACUCGGUCAUCUCAAGUGAUGGUACAUGAGCGAGUCCACACAGGGGAGAGGCCAUUCUCCUGCUCCCAAUGUGGGAAGAGAUUCUCUCAGUCCUCCCACCUUGUGACGCACUACCGAGUUCACAUUGGGGAAACUAUUUAAACAGGCAACAGGCUGCAGGCUGGAUAUUUCACCAUCAGAGUUGCUGAAUCAAGUUCAAAAGUGACUGUUGGUGCCGAACUCGGCAAUUACUGCUGCUGUUUAUCAAACCCAGUUCUGCACUCUGGUCACUGGGCGUGGGAGGCAUUCCUCGGCUAAUGUUCACGUUUAGUGGGACUGGAGUUUAAUGGUUUGUAUCUGUGAUGCAAAAAUCAGUUCUAAUUUAAAUCCUGUCCACACCUACAGAAUCUCCUUUCUCUCCCAGAAUAUCAUCUCUUAUAACUGCCACAAGGCCAAAAUGUACACUUCCCUAUUAAGCUUCAGAGUGGACAGUGCUGCCGACCUUUCUGAACAGGUGAACGGCCUCUCUCCACUAUGAACUCCCCACCCACUCAGCAGUAUCCAACAAGGUGUUCUGCUGAGGAGAACGCCCACAGGACAGUCCUGCACUGUCUUCCUAAUGACCCUUACCUCUGCUGGUGGUCACGCUUCUCCUGUCCGAAGCUUGUACUCUGGGUGUGGCCACCUCUUCAGAUGUUUCAUUGACAGUAUCUUCAGGCUCCCGAAUGAUCCUGAGUACAUCCAACUCUCUGAACCAGUCAGUCCGGCGCUGUGAUUGGGUGCACUUCCUGCAAAUAGUCAUCGGAAAACUGUCAGAUGUCCAGAGUUCCCACAUCUGACUGGAGGAACAUCCCAUCCUGACUGCUCUGCACCAAAAUACACCACUGUCUGAAUGAAUUAACAUAUGCAAGAAAAUAUCGAACGUGAAUGGGUCAAUGACAGUGGAAGUAGAGUGUUCAACUGUCUGUGUUUUUGCCAUGAGGUCGAAGGAAUAGAGGCUGCCAUUUUGUGAAGCUGCUCUUUAACCCCCAUUUUGUGAACUGAUUGCUGUGGGAUAACCUGAUCAGAUCAACUUUACACAAGAAGUUACUGGUGUUCCCAUUGUAAGCCUGAAAUCACUCUCACAUAAUCUGUGCAUUAUGUACACUGUCAGGUUUGCAGAAGCAAUCUCGUUAUCUCUGAACCUGAAGUCACUCUGAGAUAAGGUGUGGAUUACGUACAGUGGCAGUUCUGCAGAAGGAAUCUCGAUAUUUCUGCUGAGAGUCUGAGCGACGCAGUGUGUCUGUUUGGAACCAUAGUGGAGGAGAACAAAAUAAAUUACCUUUGGCAUGAUGUUGUGUAGCCCUUGGACUACAUCCAAUGGAAAUCUGUUAGUCAUCAGCCUGAUGGACUUCAGCCAACAAGAAUGAGAUGCGUCCUCUGAACUGAUAAGAGUUGUUUCAAAUGUUUCAAAUCAUGCUUGUUUCAAAACAAGUAAAGAGUUUCAAAUGCAAAGGUGUGAUAACUCCUGAGACGAACUAUCAGAAGGAAGAUCCCCCAAGGAAGGGGCUGGAGAAGAAAUGAUGGAUCAUUUGGAUACAGUGGAAUCCCCUAUUUCAGUGUUGUGGAUUUGAGAAGUGGUCAGGGUGUGUAUUAGUACAGAGGGAGCAGUGGAAUUCAUGUUUUAAGUUGUUAGCCUGGGGUCAACAUAGUUACUUUGUUGUUUGUGCAGGAAAAAUAAAAUGCGAGCUGAGAUUGAUUACGAGUUGCCUGGUGAGUUUCCGAACUGAUCUCAGUUGAUGAACGGUGAACAUAUUUUCGCGUCCCGGGUGCACUCAAAAAGAAAGAAAAGUGGUCUGGGACCCUGGUGACGAGUUAAACCACACAGUAGGUUAGGAUAUUAAACUGUGAAAGGGGAAGGACAGGAAUAACCCAGGGAUUUAGUGGAUUUCAGAGGUUACUUUCAUCGUUAAUUAUUAAGGAAAUGGUCAGAAUAUGAGGCGUGGUUAGAAAAGUUUGACAGCCAAGGUUCCGGGACUGUGGAGGAAGAAUUGUGGAAAACAGUUAGUAAAAAUAAAUUAAAGAAAUUACAAGGGAUUAAAAUUGUUAUGAUGGAAUGUUUGUUGGAUGAUGUAACAGAAGUGAAGAGAGAAAAUACUGAAACUGGCAGAGGAAUUGUGUAAGUGUAGGGAAGAGUUAGAAAUUCUGACGGAGCAGGUUCAGGGGAAUUUGAUCCACAUGAGUCAGUUUCAGGCUCAGUGUGAAAGCGUUAACAAGAGAAAAUGAGAAACCUGAAGAGGAGUAUAAACAGGCGGAUACAGAAUUAGAGAAAGGAAAAGUCAGGGUCAGGAUUUACGGCUGUUACGAAUGUCAUGAAGAAAUCGGCAGCUGAGAAGAAAGGCUGCGCUGAUCGCAAGUGUUUAAAACAGAUGGAAAAUCUGCAAAGUGAACUCUCAGCUCGGAGAGGAGUGAUAUGUGCGAGGACGGACGAUGAUGGUGAUGCAGAUUGGGGUGAUUUAGCGUAUGAAGAGACGCAUGUCUCACACACCGGGUUGCUCUCUUCAGUCACCUGAUUAUGUAAUCGUAGCCUUUGUCCAGGGGCAGAUAUGGUCAGGUAGUGCCCAACCUUUAUAGAGAGUUUCAACCCUUAACCACUACAUUGUCCAGCUGGUGGAUCAGAAGUGAGGGCCAAGUCACUGCCCAACUGUUCCUGACCUCGAACUCAACCACUCUCUCCAGCUCCAUACCCAGUAAGGGGCACUU